ACUAGACGUCGUAUAAGCCUCAAAGGAGACCAAGAAUCGAGGUGUUCCCUGGUACGACUUAACACACAGCAACAUACCUACCAACAUGAACGUUGUCGCAACAAUCACUGCCAUUGUAGUGGCUCUCUUCGCUGUCCUCGGCUCCAGCGGAGCCAUGCCGGAUCCACGAGCCUCCCCUGAACCUGUUCCCGGUCCCUCGUUCGGGUUCGGUGGCUACGGCUACGGCUACAGGCCAGUUUUCUACAGGCCCAUCGUCAGUUACGGUUACGGAGGCUACGGCUGGUAGUCACCGUUCCUCGUAGCGAACGUACUUCUCCUGGCAUCGUCUCCUAUACCCUGUAUUCGUCUUCUAAAUCUUGUAUCAUCUCUAACUUCGUGUAUUGUCUACUACUUAUUGUGUCGUCUCCUACAUCCUGUAUCGUCUUCCAAAUCUUGUAUCGCCUCCUAUCAUCUCGCUAAUCUUGUAUCGUCUCCCUAAGCUUGUAUCAUCUCCCAAAUCUUGUAUCUUCUCCUAAACCUUGUAUCAUCACCUAAAUCCUGUAUCGUCUUCCUAAUCUUGUAUCGUCUCCUGAUUCUUGUGUCGUCUCCUGAAUCUUGUAUCGUCUCCUAUAUCUUGUAUCAUCAAAGGUGAUCUACCUGUGAGGCUGAACGAUGCGGCCUUUUAAGACAUCCCUUUAGCCGUUUGUAUUCGGUAAUAAAAUUUACUGACGAUG